rnacentral:rRNA from 1 species
CUACGGGAGGCAGCAGUGGGGAAUAUUGGACAAUGGGCGCAAGCCUGAUCCAGCCAUGCCGCGUGAGUGAAGAAGGCCCUAGGGUUGUAAAGCUCUUUCGCACGCGACGAUGAUGACGGUAGCGUGAGAAGAAGCCCCGGCUAACUUCGUGCCAGCAGCCGCGGUAAUACGAAGGGGGCAAGCGUUGUUCGGAAUUACUGGGCGUAAAGGGCGCGUAGGCGGAUAUUCAAGUCAGAGGUGAAAGCCCUGGGCUCAACCCGGGAAUUGCCUUUGAAACGGGAUGUCUUGAGUAUGAGAGAGGGUGGCGGAAUACCCAGUGUAGAGGUGAAAUUCGUAGAUAUUGGGUAGAACACCAGUGGCGAAGGCGGUCACCUGGCUCAUAACUGACGCUGAGGCGCGAAAGCGUGGGGAGCAAACAGGAUUAGAAACCCGUGUAGUCC